AUUGGGACAAUAGUUCCAUCAACAUGUCUACUUCCACAACCUUGAUUCCUAGCAUUGUUACUAAUAUAUAUGUAAUACUUAAGCAAAAUAGAAAACUUCAUUAAAACUCAAAUAAAAUUUAAAAUUCAUAUGAUAAAAGUUGUACCUACCUUUAGCAAUGUAACUACUCAAAUAAAUUUAAAAUCCAUAGGAUAAAAGUUGUACCUACCUUUAGCAAUGUAACUAUGAAUUGUACGUAUAAACUCUAAUUGAAUGCAUACUAUCAUAACAACACUUUAGCAUGCUAGCUAGUCAUUACAUAUCACUACAAGAGUACAACAAUGUGAAACAUUUAAAACACACACAAUUCAAGAACAUUAAUAAUUAAUCAAAAAAACUCAUCCAACCUAAACCUUAUUAGCCAACAAAGUUUUCCAACUUAUUGAAACUCACUUCUUUUAUCAUAAACUCACUCAAUUCAAACAAACUUCUUCUUAAUAUAUACCAAUUUAUAAACCUAACUAUGACAACCAUAAUUUUGAAACUAGUUGUAUAAAUACAACCAAACAAAUAAAAAAUAAUAAGUUUCAUAAUGACCUUAUAGUAUCAAACAAAUCAUCCACAUACCUAGUUAAAUCGGUGGUAGGACGGAUGACCGAUGAAUUGAUCUUGAUCAAUGGAUACCGCUUCCAUGUGAAGAUGUAAGGGAAUGCGAUGGGGUGGCCGAUUUUGUGAGAUCGUGAACUUUAAGUUAGGGUUUUAUUUUACGUGGUUCAUCAAUACAAGAAAUUAAGAGUUUCCCGAUGCAGGAAAAGCGUCGGGAAACAUCGUGUCGGUAGAAGACGUUGUUUCCUGACGUCGUGUGUACCACGUCAGGGGAAGGCCUUUUAUCUAAUGCAUGAAUAUGAGCGUCAAAAUUUUCCUUUCCUUCCUCCGACGCUAUGCUAGAUACGUCGGACAAUGGCCCCAAUUUUCCCAACGUACACCAAGUUGCGUCGGAAGAUGGUGGACAAUUAAAUGUAGCGUUCGGCCUUCCUCCAAUGUGGUGACAGGUGCGUUGGACAAUGGGCCACUAUUCCCGACGUCUACAGUGUCAUGUCAGAGGAAGGGCAGAUAAUUAAUUGUUCGUGAUGCCUUCCUCCGACGAUGUGACCGUCACGUCGGGAAUAGAUCAAGGAUUCCCGAUGCCAUAAGUGACACGUUGGGAAUAUGGUUUAGGAAUUCCUGGCGUGUCCUUAAAUGCGUCAGGAAUACCUAGCAAUUUCCAACGAUUUCGAUGUGUG
rnacentral:lncRNA from 1 species